rnacentral:lncRNA from 1 species
ACUGGCCAGGAAACGCAAGGGCGAGGGCGACUCCAGGACCUGGCAAAACGCAGGAUUGACGGCUUCAAGGACGCUGCAGGGCUGAGGUGCGACGUCCUCGUCGGCUUCAAGGACAUGCGAGCGAGGGCGAGGAAAACUCCAAGACCUGGCAACGCAGGUCGGGCUCGGGCGUCAGGCGACGGCGUUGGGUGAGGGCGAGGGCAACCUGGCAACGCAGGUCAGACGACAGUGUCGGGCGUCGGGCGAGGGCGAGGGCGACCUAGCAACACAGGUCGGGCGUUGGGCUGCGGCGUCGGGGGUGAGGGCGAGGGUGAGGGCGACUAUCUAGACCAGGCAACGUAGGUCGGGCGUCGGUGGCGAGGGCGAGGGCGACGGCGUCAGGGGCGAACGGCGACUCUCCAGACCUGGCGUCGGGGGCGAGGGCGACUCUCCAGACCUUGCAACACAGGUCGGGCGUCGGUGGUCGAGCGUCGGGUGAGGGUGACGACGUCGAGGGGGCUCCAGGACGUCGCUGAUUGCGGUUUCUUUCCUUACCGAAGACUACGUAGGAUUGGAAAGAGAUGCAAUUUCAUA